rnacentral:rRNA from 1 species
UCUUUGAACGCACCUUGCGCUCCUCGGUGUUCCGAGGGAGCAUGCCUGUUUGAGUGUCAG